UCCCAGUUCGGAUUGUAGUCUGCAACCCGACUACAUGAAGCUGGAAUCGCUAGUAAUCGCGGAUCAGAAUGCCGCGGUGAAUACGUUCCCGGGUCUUGUACACACCGCCCGUCACACCAUGGGAGUCAGUAACGCCCGAAGCCGGUGACCCAACCUAACAAGGAGGGAGCCGUCGAAGGCGGGACGGAUGACUGGGGUGAAGUCGUAACAAGGUAUC
rnacentral:rRNA from 1 species